GCUGGGUGAGCUCAUGCACACCUGUAAUUCCAGAGACUCAGGAGGCUGAGACAGGAGGAUCACAAGUUCGAGGUCAACCUCAGCAAUCUAGCAAGGCCCUAAGCAACUUAGUGAGAUCCUGUCUCAA
rnacentral:sRNA from 1 species